UUGAAUCCCAAUCACUGUUGAAGAACUUCAUCAACUGGGAUGCGGUUUUCUUCAGACUUUCACUAAAGUAUCUUUCUGUCAUCCGGCGUCUGUGGACUUUCGUCUGGCUAAGCUGAACGCGUUUACAGGAUGCGUGCGCCUCGUCCAACGACUUGUUCUUCAACGAACCUCAACGUUAAGAACGCUGUUCAGAUAACAGAAAAGUUGUUUUACAACGUAUAUGAAAUUAAUGAAUGUUACAAAAAAGAAAGAAAACGGCAGACAUAACGUUCGUGAUAAGUCACGUCAGUCUGUUUGGGAAGAGCUGAAAAGUGAUUUCUGCAAAAAACAAACAAACCGAAAUACAUGGACAGAGUUCUGGAUUCAUACUGGUAAUAAUAAAUGCUGGAGUCAUCGUUUGCCUGGCUGCCAGCUAAGAUCAUCUCUGGACUUGAUGUGUUGCUAGGCAAGUCCUUAAGCGUCCCUCUGAUAAGUUGCCAUCAUUGGGAUACUUGUCUGACUCUCCGUGUUCAUCG